CAGCGAUCAGUAGCUGGUCUGAGAGGACGAUCAGCCACACUGGGACUGAGACACGGCCCAGACUCCUACGGGAGGCAGCAGUGGAGAAUUUUCCGCAAUGGGCGAAAGCCUGACGGAGCAAGACCGCGUGAGGGAGGAAGGCUCUUGGGUUGUAAACCUCUUUUCUCAGGGAAGAAGCUCUGACGGUACCUGAGGAAUCAGCCUCGGCUAAACUCCGUGCCAGCAGCCGCGGUAAUACGGAGGAGGCAAGCGUUAUCCGGAAUUAUUGGGCGUAAAGCGUCCGCAGGUGGCGAUUCAAGUCUGCUGUCAAAGCACGGGGCUUAACUCCGUUAAGGCAGUGGAAACUGAAUAGCUAGAGUGCCGUGAGGGUAGAGGGAAUUCCCGGUGUAGCGGUGCAAUGCGUAGAAAUCGGGAAGAACAUCGGUGGCGAAAGCGCUCUACUGGACAGCAACUGACACUCAGGGACGAAAGCUAGGGGAGCGAAUGGGAUUAGAUACCCCAGUAGUCCUAGCUUUAAACGAUGGAUACUAGGUGUAGCUUUGUAUCGACCCGAGCUGUGCCGAAGCUAACGCGUUAAGUAUCCCGCCUUGGGGAGUACGCACGCAAGUGUUAAACUUCAAAGGAAUUGACGGGGGGCCCGCACAAAGCGGUGGAGUAUGUGGUUUAAUUCGAUGCAACGCGAAGACCCUUACCAGGGCUUGACAUGUCCGGAAUCCCGUUGAAAGCUGGGAGUGCCUUCGGGAGCC
rnacentral:rRNA from 1 species